AACGAACGCUGGCGGCGUGGAUAAGACAUGCAAGUCGAACGGGACAGACCGAGUAGCAAUAUUUGGAAUGUUCAGUGGCGAACGGGUGCGUAACACGUGGAUAACAUUCCGGAAAGCGGGGAAUAGCCCAGGGAAACUUGGAUUAAUACCGCAUGUGGCCGCAAGGCUAAAGACGGGGACCGCAAGGCCUGUCACUUUCCGAUUGGUCCGCGGCCUAUCAGCUAGUUGGCGGGGUAAUGGCCACCAAGGCUACGACGGGUAGCUGGUCUUAGAGGACGACCAGCCACACUGGAACUGAGAAACGGUCCAGACACCUACGGGUGGCAGCAGUCGAGAAUCUUUCACAAUGGGGGCAACCCUGAUGGAGCGACGCCGCGUGGAGGAUAAGGUCUUCGGAUUGUAAACUCCUGUCAUGCGAGAACAAGGUACUCAGGCUAAUAACCUGAUUGUUUGAUGGUACCGCAAGAGGAAGAGACGGCUAACUCUGUGCCAGCCGCCGCCGUAAAAC
rnacentral:rRNA from 1 species